GGUUCUUUGAAUAAAAAUAAAGAAUCUAACCUGCCCAAUGAAAAUUAUUUAAAUGGCCGCGAUAUUUUAAUCGUGCUAAGGUAGCAUAAUCAAUUGUCUGUUAAUUGRAGACUGGAAUGAAUGGUUGGACUUGAGACAAUUUUUUUUUAUUAUAUAGUGAAUUUUUUAUUUUUAUGAGGAGAUAAAAAUGGGUUAGGAAGACGAGAAGACCCUAUUAAGCUUGAUAAGAAUCUUAUGAAAAUGUGUAGGGAAAAAUAUAAGGAGUAGUAUUUUGCUGGGGCGGUAAAGUUAUAAUAAACAACUUGUAAGUAGAUGACAUAAUAGGUGAUAGAGAUCCAAAAUUUUUGAGUAAGAGACUAAGUUACUAUAGGGAUAACAGCGUAAUUUUAUUUUGAAGUUCAAAUUUAUGAUAGAGUUUGCGACCUCGAUGUUGGUUUAAGAUACCUAUUUGAUGAAGAAGUUAAAUGAGGUGGUUUGUUCAACCAUUAAAUUCUUAUA
rnacentral:rRNA from 1 species